CAGGAAGCUGGCAUCUCUCCGCGGGACACGCGGCCAUAUCCUCAUCAGACUCGUCAGACUGUGAGAUAUCGGAACGCGGCGAGGACGAGUUGGAGAUGUAUGCUGUGAUUAACAAUAUGUAAUCAGUGACCUUAUCAAGGCGUUCUCGCAAUAAUUAAUGAUUUAACAAGCUAAGACAUCAAUAAACACUCUCAUUGAAUUUCCAUAAAUCUCUGCAAGCGCUUCCAUUUUCAAAUGAUCACUUCGCCAACAUUCCUCACGUGUGAGCUAUUUUCAGACCAGGCCUCCGGGCCAAUCGUGCUUCUUAGGGACAUGUUGGUGACCCCCUGACAUAGUUAAUUUGUGGCAAAACCUUUUUUUUUUUUAUGAGUAAAGAAUGGAGGCAGAGUGACUGUUAAAGAGCAGGACACUGUUUGGAAAUAUGAAAUUCAUAUUUUCCACAUUCAAAUUAUGAAUGAUGUGUGGAAAAUGAACUCCAUUCACGAUUAAGUUUCUUAAUUGACAAGCACUUACGACAGAGGCAGAAUCUUUGGCCUCUGAAAGCGCUUUCUCCACAUCACUGACAGUGUUGAGCCUGAGAGUUUUCUUCUUGUUACUCUUCGAUGAUUCCUUCCCUUUUUUGGCCUUCCUCUUGGGAGAAUCUUCAUUUCCAACCUCACAUCUUGGACACAAAGCCUGGGAUGAAAAACGCAACAGUGAGUCGUCACAUUAUCUUCAGGGCCGUAAUAAUUUGGAGGAUGGGUUUGAGGGGGGUCGGUCACCUCAAGCAGGGUACGGGCUGUGUCUUUUUGAAGGAAAAUGGAAGCAGCAGAUUCUUUCCACUCUUGUACUUCUGCCAUUAAAGUCUCAAGUCUGUCUAAGGGCUCCAGAUGAACUUGAAUGGCUUGGCCUCGUAGCACCAUGUCAGAUAGGUCGUCCAACAUAAGUACACGGUCAUUAGCCUGCAAAACAACACGAUUGUGGGUUAAACACGCGUGGGAAUGUGAAAGCACGCAGCCCAAGUGUCAAGCGUGUAUUAACCUGAAGCUCCUCUGCUUCCUGAAGCCACUCUAGAGCUUUUCGGAUGGUGUCUUUCAGAAGGAGGCAGUUAGGAAGGUGAGAGGAGAUGCCAGAAACCUCCUCGGCUGCAGCACUCAGGGUCUCAAUGGAGUGAGGCGGUCUGAUGGGUAAAAGAGUACACAAUGUAAGUCCAAAACACUAGACAGUGAUAUCUAAAAAUCAAUUAUGAGAACUGUCGUUGCGUUGUUUUCAGUCCACACACAGUUCGGUGACAGGUCUGAAAGGUCCUGGACCCUAAAUUGCUGUAAUUAAAAAUUUGGAGUUGUUCUCGGUUUGUCCAUGGGAAUCAAAAUUUUGCAAAACCUAAAAAGGAUGAAACUCAAAAUUGAGAACUAAGCAUUGCAACUACAAAUGGCAAGGAACAUCACUUCAAUUGCGUUUAAGCUCUUAGUUAAGAUGGAGAGAUGCACAUUCCUAACAGCCAUGCUAUUGAAAGCAACUUGUGACAAGAAAUGCUGAACAGCACCAGUGGAAUGAGGGCGAAACUAAACAGGAUGCUCACUUUUUGUUGAUCUGGUUGAAUAUUCUAGCCACAGCUUUUUGCACUAUAGCUGGAAUUAAAACGAAGCAAAAUCAGGUGCACUGAUGCAAUAGGAAAUCACUCAGAUGCAAUCAGUGCAAAGACUCGGGCAGAAAGUCAGACAUGACUCGAACAACAAAGACAUUGUUAAGUACACUUGAAAAUAAAGCCACCAUAUUUGGAAUGUUUUUUGCACCCCUGUGAACAGCUGUUCAUUUGAUCUGCCCCAUUCACCUGGCUUUCAGAAGACUGCUCGCCUUGUCCUCCCAGUGCUCCGACACCGUCAAGAGCUCCUGAAGCUGUGCCAUGGCUUUCUCCACGGACGAGUGAGGUGCCAAGCCCACGCCUUGGUCGAUGAGUCUUCGCAUGGUUUCCAAAGUCAAACUUGCGGGCUGGACGCUGGCUUGCUCCACUCCCUCCAGCCAGCGGGCCUGUUCUAGUCGCUCCCUCAAGCGCGACAGCUCAGGCAGGUCCACGUCAAAGUCAAAGCUGACAUUUAACAGGCUCUGGAUCUCUGCCACGCUGGGAGCAUCAUCGGCCAGGACCUUCUCACUGUGCUGCUGGAAGUCUUCAAUGCGAUUCAAGAGUUCCUUCAAAGACACGGCAAAACGUAUUGAGCACCAACUGCUGCGAUAUGUUCUCACUUGCCAGAUCGGUUCAGAUUCUGUCUACUUGAGCAGUCUACCUUCAACAAGGGGGCUUGAGUGAGGCUGCAGGAGAGGUUAUACAGCUGCCUCACAAACGAACUAAGCUCCUCCACGGUCAACUGGCUGCGUGAUUUCCCCACGCCACAUUGAUACCUGGAGAACAAGUCAAGUCAGCUCACCUUUACAUUUGAUGUACCAGCAAAAUACUUGGUCUGCCUUCUCUCCGCAAAAUACCUGGUUUGCCUUUUCCCAUUCAACAGCUGCUGUGCCACUGAGGAGCACCUCUCUGCAUCUUGGGUGACCGUACGCAACCGACGCAGAAGGUCGUUUUCAGGGAAGCCUUCAGACUCAGCAAGGAGAGUGCGAAAAACUGGCAAGCCUGCGGAGGGAGGACGUGUCACUCACAGGACAACACUGACCUUCACACAUAAAUUGCUCCAUGUUGUUGUUCAUCAUUGUUGUUUAGCUUCCAGAGUCUCUGACACGCGUGAGGCCCAUGCAUCAUACUGUUCGGCACGCUGCUUCGAGGCAUUCAUCAUGGGCAACAGGUCCUCCAGUGUGUAUCUGUAACUAUACAAGGACAUUGAAUGUGAAAAUUGAAUAUUCACUUGUUUACUCAUCUUAAAUUAGCUUGAUCCCCAGGCGGUGGGACUUACUUCAGUGUGUAGUUGGUAACCGGGCAGGAGCACAGGUCAGUGAUGUGAUGCAGACAGACCAGUACUCCUGGGCUACAGGGACAGGUGAUGGCAGAGAGGUAACAGGUGGUCCGGCACUUGGCGCACUGUCGCUCGUCAUCCUGCAGAUGAUCGUAUUUUGCCUCCUGCCACUGCACUAAGCCCUUUAAAUGGGAGGGCCAAACCACUGGUGAGUGGUUAUAAGUGAAGGACAGAUUUGAUCGCACAAAAUGAUUGUUGCUACUUCACCAUUUUUGACACUUUUCCCCUUAAUUCCUGCUCUUCCAGGAUCAUGACGGCCAUGUCCUUAUGGACAGCAGAUGCCAGAACCACAUCGAGCGUCUCUGCUUUUGCUGCCAUGUUGCACACCAUCUCGUCGUGGGAGAAGACGUUGUACCGGUGUAGCGUGCGAUAGUGAUUCACACAUUGCCUACCGAGAGACAUCUGGAGUAACAGAAAUAGAAAAUCGAGGUGGACAAUACAUACCGGGACACCGUGGGCCAUCAGGGUAUUAGGAUUCAUGAUGGUGACCAGCUGGUGCAAGAG